rnacentral:ncRNA from 1 species
UUUUUCUUAGUAUAGCUGGAGUACGUGAUAAAGCAGUUAUAUUCAGUAAAACGAAUGAUUAGAGGAAAUGUGGGACGAAAUGUUUUCAAUCUGUUCUCAAACUUUCAAUGAGUAUGACGUUUCGUUUGCUUGAAUGAAACCGUAGACAUUGAAUGUGUGCUUCAAGAAGGCCAUUUUUAGUAUACAUAGAUGGCGCUGUGGGAUGAAUCA